rnacentral:misc_RNA from 1 species
GUGAAUCAUCGAAUUUUUGAACGCAAAUUGCACUCUCUGGUAAUCCGGUGAGCAUUUCUGUUUGAGGGUCAGAAAAAACAACAAUCGGUCUGGUUGCUGCUUUUCGUGGUGACGUAUCGGAUUUGGGUCGUCUUGCCUUCGGUUAAGUGCCUUAAAAUUUCGCUUGAUUUUUUCGAACGUAUUUAAAUUAUUUUACGUACGCUUGUGAUAUAGACUAUCAGGAUUGG